rnacentral:lncRNA from 1 species
UGCUCAUAUACAGCACUCGAAAACAGAGCGUGGAAGUAUACUAUACUCUAUGAUGCAACUAACGUACCGAGAGUACCGAGUACGUACUACGGGUCACCGUAGACGACCGUACCUUUGUUUCUGCUGGCUUCGUCACCUAUGUACUACAUGUAAGAGGGUGUUUAGUUGGGUUGGUAAAGUUUAACAGGUACGGUAGUAUUUUUGUCUUAUUUUAAAAUUAUUGUUCAAUCAUAGACUAAUUAUGUUUAAAACACACAGCAAACACACAGCAGCAGCACGUACUACAACGUCCGGCU